rnacentral:rRNA from 1 species
UUCCAGACUCCUACGGGAGGCAGCAGUGGGGAAUAUUGGGCAAUGGGCGCAAGCCUGACCCAGCAAUGCCGCGUGAAGGAAGAAGGCCCUCGGGUUGUAAACUUCUUUUAUCAGGGACGAAGGAUGUGACGGUACCUGAUGAAUAAGCUCCGGCUAACUACGUGCCAGCAGCCGCGGUAAUACGUAGGGAGCAAGCGUUAUCCGGAUUUACUGGGUGUAAAGGGCGCGUAGGCGGGAUGGCAAGUCAGAUGUGAAAUCCGGGGGCUCAACCCCUGAACUGCAUUUGAAACUGUCGUUCUUGAGUACUGGAGAGGUUGACGGAAUUCCUAGUGUAGCGGUGAAAUGCGUAGAUAUUAGGAGGAACACCAGUGGCGAAGGCGGCUUACUGGACUGUAACUGACGUUGAGGCUCGAAAGCGUGGGGAGCAAACAGGAUUAGAUACCCCUGUA